AUUUAACCAUUUUCAAUAGUAUUGAUGUCAAAUCUUGAUUAAUAAAUUGUCAAGUUUGAUUCCCAAUAUCACAAGCAAUGCAACAGAUAGACACAAGGCAUUAUCAAGUUCUAAUCUUUGCAAGCUAAAUCUCUAAGUACAAGUAAGAUCCUAACAGAUUCAAGACAAGUUACUUAGGCACUCUUAAGAGCUUCUUUACUCAGUACUUAGACAUGAAUCUAAUACUUCAAUGUAAGACAGCCACAAGAGUAUAUGCAACAGCUUUAAAUUCGGUUUCAC
rnacentral:lncRNA from 1 species